AUUGAACGCUGGCGGCAGGCCUAACACAUGCAAGUCGAGCGGAUGAAGGGAGCUUGCUCCUGGAUUCAGCGGCGGACGGGUGAGUAAUGCCUAGGAAUCUGCCUGGUAGUGGGGGAUAACGUCCGGAAACGGGCGCUAAUACCGCAUACGUCCUGAGGGAGAAAGUGGGGGAUCUUCGGACCUCACGCUAUCAGAUGAGCCUAGGUCGGAUUAGCUAGUUGGUGGGGUAAAGGCCUACCAAGGCGACGAUCCGUAACUGGUCUGAGAGGAUGAUCAGUCACACUGGAACGGGGACACGGUCCAGGCUCCUACGGGAGGCAGCAGUGGGGAAUAUUGGACAGUGGGCGGAAGCCUGAUCCAGCCAUGCCGCGUGUGUGAAGAAGGUCUUCGGAUUGUAAAGCCCUUUAAGUUGGGAGGAAGGGCAGUAAGUUAAUACCUUGCUGUUUUGACGUUACCAACAGAAUAAGCACCGGCUAACUUCGUG
rnacentral:rRNA from 1 species